UCAUCUCCAACGAGCCUGAUAUGAGACAGCACUGUGUCCACACUGUGUGCACACUGCAUGCAACAGGACAAGCUGUUAAAGGGCAGCUGCAGUCGGAUCCUACAACACCAGAGUAGCGACACACAUUGGUCAAGCGGAAAGUUGGUCACGUGCCCUCUAGUGGCGGGAUAGCGCGUUGCAUAUCCGACCAAGAAUUGGCUGAACUUCAGUAUUGCUGCCGACCAGCAAUAAUAGGAGCAUCGAUGACCCGUUUUCAGAACCAGGAACUGGAGAUGUAAGCUGAAGUCAAGAACCAUGAGGCAGAUGUGCAGGAGAAAAUCAAGGAAGAGGAUCUGCUGGGUGCUGUUGAGGAGAAGCUGCAGGGGUGCUGACAGUGCAUGAGAACUCCUGAGAGAACUACGAAAAUAAUCAAAACUUCGAUACUUUGUACAGAUUUGUGCUGUUUGCUCACACUACUUGUGUUGGACUGGUUAAAGUAAAAUAAAAAGUUUCAAAUGUG